AUUGAACGCUGGCGGCAGGCCUAACACAUGCAAGUCGAACGGUAACAGGAAGCAGCUUGCUGCUUUGCUGACGAGUGGCGGACGGGUGAGUAAUGUCUGGGAAACUGCCCGAUGGAGGGGGAUAACUACUGGAAACGGUAGCUAAUACCGCAUAACGUCGCAAGACCAAAGAGGGGGACCUUAGGGCCUCAUGCCAUCGGAUGUGCCCAGAUGGGAUUAGCUAGUAGGUGGGGUAACGGCUCACCUAGGCGACGAUCCCUAGCUGGUCUGAGAGGAUGACCAGCCACACUGGAACUGAGACACGGUCCAGACUCCUACGGGAGGCAGCAGUGGGGAAUAUUGCACAAUGGGCGCAAGCCUGAUGCAGCCAUGCCGCGUGUAUGAAGAAGGCCUUCGGGUUGUAAAGUACUUUCAGCGGGGAGGAAGGGAGUAAAGUUAAUACCUUUGCUCAUUGACGUUACCCGCAGAAGAAGCACCGGCUAACUCCGUG
rnacentral:rRNA from 1 species